rnacentral:rRNA from 1 species
CGCACUCUCGUUUAGAUUGAAGGAGCUUGCUCCUGAUUGAUAAACAUUUGAGUGAGUGGCGGACGGGUGAGUAACACGUGGGUAACCUGCCCUAAAGUGGGGGAUAACAUUUGGAAACAGAUGCUAAUACCGCAUAAAACCUAACACCGCAUGGUGUAGGGUUGAAAGAUGGUUUCGGCUAUCACUUUAGGAUGGACCCGCGGUGCAUUAGUUAGUUGGUGAGGUAAAGGCUCACCAAGACCGUGAUGCAUAGCCGACCUGAGAGGGUAAUCGGCCACACUGGGACUGAGACACGGCCCAGACUCCUACGGGAGGCAGCAGUAGGGAAUCUUCCACAAUGGACGAAAGUCUGAUGGAGCAACGCCGCGUGAGUGAAGAAGGUUUUCGGAUCGUAAAACUCUGUUGUUGGAGAAGAAUGUAUCUGAUAGUAACUGAUCAGGUAGUGACGGUAUCCAACCAGAAAGCCACGGCUAACUACGUGCCAGCAGCCGCGGUAAUACGUAGGUGGCAAGCGUUGUCCGGAUUUAUUGGGCGUAAAGCGAGCGCAGGCGGUUUCUUAAGUCUGAUGUGAAAGCCUUCGGCUCAACCGAAGAAGUGCAUCGGAAACUGGGAAACUUGAGUGCAGAAGAGGACAGUGGAACUCCAUGUGUAGCGGUGAAAUGCGUAGAUAUAUGGAAGAACACCAGUGGCGAAGGCGGCUGUCUGGUCUGUAACUGACGCUGAGGCUCGAAAGCAUGGGUAGCAAACAGGAUUAGAUACCCUGGUAGUCCAUGCCGUAAACGAUGAGUGCUAGGUGUUGGAGGGUUUCCGCCCUUCAGUGCCGCAGCUAACGCAUUAAGCACUCCGCCUGGGGAGUACGACCGCAAGGUUGAAACUCAAAGGAAUUGACGGGGGCCCGCACAAGCGGUGGAGCAUGUGGUUUAAUUCGAAGCAACGCGAAGAACCUUACCAGGUCUUGACAUCCUUUGACCACUCUAGAGAUAGAGCUUUCCCUUCGGGGACAAAGUGACAGGUGGUGCAUGGUUGUCGUCAGCUCGUGUCGUGAGAUGUUGGGUUAAGUCCCGCAAC